UCAUUAAAUCAGUUAUCGUUUAUUUGAUAGUGCCUAUCCUACUUGGAUAACCGUGGUAAUUCUAGAGCUAAUACAUGCUAAAAAUCCCGACUUCGGAAGGGAUGCAUUUAUUGGAUACAGAACCAACGCCCUUCGGGGCUUUCUGGUGAAUCACAAUAACUUCGCGGAUCGCACGGCCUUGUGCCGGCGAUGGUUCAUUCAAAUUUCUGCCCUAUCAACUUUCGACGGCUGGGUCUUGGCCAGCCGUGGUGACAACGGGUAACGGAGGGUUAGGGCUCGACCCCGGAGAAGGAGCCUGAGAGACGGCUACUACAUCCAAGGAAGGCAGCAGGCGCGCAAAUUACCCAAUCCCGACUCGGGGAGGUAGUGACAAUAAAUACUGAUCCAGGGCUCUUUUGGGUCUUGGAAUUGGAAUGAGUACAAUUUAAAUCCCUUAACGAGGAACAAUUGGAGGGCAAGUCUGGUGCCAGCAGCCGCGGUAAUUCCAGCUCCAAUAGCGUAUAUUAAAGUUGUUGAGGUUAAAAAGCUCGUAGUUGAACCUUGGCCCCGGCUAGCUGGUCCGCCUCACCGCGAGUACUGGUUCGGCCGGGGCUUUCCCUCUGGGGAACCUCAUGCCCUUCACUGGGUGUGCUGGGGAACCAGGACUUUUACUGUGAACAAAUCAGAUCGCUCAAAGAAGGCCUUCGCUCGAAUGCAUUAGCAUGGAAUAAUAGAAUAGGACGUGCGGUUCUAUUUUGUUGGUUUCUAGGACCGCCGUAAUGAUUAAUAGGGACAGUCGGGGGCGUCCGUAUUCAAUUGUCAGAGGUGAAAUUCUUGGAUCUAUUGAAGACGAACUACUGCGAAAGCAUUCGCCAAGGAUGUUUUCAUUAAAUCAGGAACGAAAGUUAGGGGAUCGAAGACGAUCAGAUACCGUCGUAGUCUUAACCAUAAACUAUGCCGAUUAGGGAUCGGACGAUGUUAUUUUUUGACUCGUUCGGCACCUUACGA
rnacentral:rRNA from 1 species